AUUCCAUGAUGAGGGCACUUUUGUAAUAACUCUUUGUAUCUUUCCCAUGCCUCAUACAAGGACUCAUCAUCCAUUUGUUGGAA
rnacentral:snoRNA from 1 species